rnacentral:hammerhead_ribozyme from 1 species
AUCCAGCUGACGAGUCCCAAAUAGUUUGAAACGCGCGUCGUGGAU